rnacentral:rRNA from 1 species
UUACCUUCGGGUAUUGAGGAUGGCGGACGGGUGAGUAACGCGUAAGGAACUUGCCUCUUGGUUUGGGACAACUGUUGGAAACGACAGCUAAUACCGGAUAUUAUGAGAUUCUCGCAUGGGAAACUUAUGAAAGCUAUAUGCGCCAAGAGAGAGCCUUGCGUUCCAUUAGCUAGUUGGUGGGGUAACGGCCCACCAAGGCGACGAUGGAUAGCCGGCCUGAGAGGGUGAACGGCCACAAGGGGACUGAGACACGGCCCUUACUCCUACGGGAGGCAGCAGUGGGGAAUAUUGGACAAUGGGCCACAAGCCUGAUCCAGCAAUUCUGUGUGCACGAUGAAGGUCUUCGGAUUGUAAAGUGCUUUCAGUUGGGAAGAAGAAAGUGACGGUACCAACAGAAGAAGCGACGGCUAAAUACGUGCCAGCAGCCGCGGUAAUACGUAUGUCGCAAGCGUUAUCCGGAUUUAUUGGGCGUAAAGCGCGUCUAGGCGGAAAAAUAAGUCUGAUGUUAAAAUGCGGGGCUCAACUCCGUAUUGCGUUGGAAACUGUUUUUCUAGAGUACUGGAGAGGUGGGCGGAACUACAAGUGUAGAGGUGAAAUUCGUAGAUAUUUGUAGGAAUGCCGAUGGAGAAGUCAGCUCACUGGACAGAUACUGACGCUAAAGCGCGAAAGCGUGGGGAGCAAACAGGAUUAGAUACCCUGGUAGUCCACGCCGUAAACGAUGAUCACU